GGGGAAUAUUGCACAAUGGGCGCAAGCCUGAUGCAGCAACGCCGCGUGAAGGAAGACGGUUUUCGGAUUGUAAACUUCUGUUCUUAGUGAAGAAAUUUGACGGUAGCUAAGGAGCAAGCCACGGCUAACUACGUGCCAGCAGCCGCGGUAAUACGUAGGUGGCAAGCGUUAUCCGGAUUUACUGGGUGUAAAGGGCGCGUAGGCGGGGAUGCAAGUCAGAUGUGAAAUCUAUGGGCUUAACUCAUAAACUGCAUUUGAAACUGUAUCUCUUGAGUGCUGGAGAGGUAGAUGGAAUUCCUUGUGUAGCGGUGAAAUGCGUAGAUAUAAGGAAGAACACCAGUGGCGAAGGCGAUCUACUGGACAGUAACUGACGCUGAGGCGCGAAAGCGUGGGGAGCAAACAGG
rnacentral:rRNA from 1 species